GUCGUGGGAGUUGCUGCAGAAGCAAGCGAAAAGCCAGAUGAGCGCUUCUAAACUUAGA
rnacentral:misc_RNA from 1 species